UUCCACUUUAUUCUCCUAAUCAUUGAUCUUCACAAAGGAGUCGUAAAUGUCAUGGACUCGAAACGUAAAGAACAUGCGGAAUGGGCGGACAUGGCUGCCAUCCUCCAGAGGGCUUGGAAACGGUUCAUCAAUACUGUUCCGGGUAAAUGGAAACCGGAGCUUACAUUUCAAGAUUACCCUUGUAUGAGGCAGGAACCCGGGAAUAACUUAUGUGGAUACUACGUCUGCACCUUCAUUCGUGACAUGGUCUGUCCCAAGGGUGGGGAUGCCCGUAU